UUUGAUGGCGACCGGCGCACGGGUGAGUAACACGUAUCCAACCUNCCGAUGACUCGGGGAUAGCCUUUCGAAAGAAAGAUUAAUACCCGAUGGCAUAGUUCUUCCGCAUGGUAGAACUAUUAAAGAAUUUCGGUCAUCGAUGGGGAUGCGUUCCAUUAGGUUGUUGGCGGGGUAACGGCCCACCAAGCCUUCGAUGGAUAGGGGUUCUGAGAGGAAGGUCCCCCACAUUGGAACUGAGACACGGUCCAAACUCCUACGGGAGGCAGCAUG
rnacentral:rRNA from 1 species